CCUACGGGAGGCAGCAGUGGGGAAUAUUGCACAAUGGGGGAAACCCUGAUGCCGCGCCGCCGCGUGAGUGAAGAAGUAUUUCGGUACGUAAAGCUCUAUCAGCAGGGAAGAAAAUGACGGUACCUGACUAAGAAGCCCCGGCUAACUACGUGCCAGCAGCCGCGGUAAUACGUAGGGGGCAAGCGUUAUCCGGCUUUACUGGGUGUAAAGGGAGCGUAGACGGCAGCGCAAGUCUGGAGUGAAAUCCCAUGGCUUAACCAUGGAACUGCUUUGGAAACUGUGCAGCUAGAGUGCAGGAGAGGUAAGCGGAAUUCCUAGUGUAGCGGUGAAAUGCGUAGAUAUUAGGAGGAACACCAGUGGCGAAGGCGGCUUACUGGACUGUAACUGACGUUGAGGCUCGAAAGCGUGGGGAGCAAACAGGAUUAGAUACCCUGGUAGUC
rnacentral:rRNA from 1 species